CGACAAUGCUGUAAGGGCCAUGGCUUGUGCCGGUUGCGCUGCUGGUGGUUUCCUUGGGGAAGAAGAAACAUUUGAGGAGAUAUUAGAACUUACCGGAGAUGAAUUACAAGCUAAAGUAGCGCCUCUCAUAGUAAAAACUACGGAGAAACUAGGAAUAAAUGACCCUUUGGCAGACAUACUAUGCAAUCA